GCAUAUCAAUAAGCGGAGGAAAAGAAACUAACAAGGAUUCCCCUAGUAACGGCGAGUGAAGCGGGAUGAGCUCAAAUUUAAAAUCUGGCCGGUUUACUGGUCCGAAUUGUAGUUUAAAGAAGCGUUUUCGGUGGCAGCCUGGGUAUAAAUCCUUUGGAAUAGGGUAUCAUAGAGGGUGAGAAUCCCGUCUUUGACUCAGUGCAUGCUACUAUGUGAUACGUUUUCAAAGAGUCGAGUUGUUUGGGAAUGCAGCUCAUAAAUGGGUGGUAAAUCUCAUCUAAGGCUAAAUAUUGGCGAGAGACCGAUAGCGAACAAGUACCGUGAGGGAAAGAUGAAAAGAACUUUGAAAAGAGAGUUAAACACUGCGUGAAAUUGUUGAAAGGGAAACGUUUGACACCAGUCAUGCGGGCGGAAAAUCAGUCUUUUGUUGUGGGGAAGCACGUGGGUUCAGACCGUAAGGCUGGCCUAUAUGUUCUCUCUGCUGCAAGUGAUGCACUUUUUCGUCUGCAGGCCAACAUCAGUUUCUUCUGCUGGACAAAACUCUAAGAGAAUGUAGCAGCUUAGGCUGUGUUAUAGCUCUGGAGCGAUACAGUGGAGGGGACUGAGGUUUUCGCAGCGUGUGCUCUCGGGCAAGGCGGAUUGGGUGCUAUGGGAUCGUUCGACGUACAAUGCAUGCAUUUUGCGCCGUGUCCUUUUCAUACUCGCUCAACUCUGCUCUUCCACGCUUAGGAUGUUGGCAUAAUGGUUUUAAACGACCCGUCUUGAAACACGGACCAAGGAGUCUAACAUAUAUGCGAGUGUUUGGGUGGCAAACCCAUACGCGUAAUGAAAGUGAACGUAGGUGCCAUCCGCAAGGUGCAGCAUCGACCGAUCUUGAAUUUUUAGGAUAGAUUUGAGUAAGAGCAUAUAUGCUGGGACCCGAAAGAUGGUGAACUAUGCCUGAAUAGGGUGAAGCCAGAGGAAACUCUGGUGGAGGCUCGUAGCGAUUCUGACGUGCAAAUCGAUCGUCAAAUUUGGGUAUAGGGGCGAAAGACUAUCGACCAUCUAGUAGCUGGUCUGC
rnacentral:rRNA from 1 species